AAUUUUCGGCAAAGGGGGCAACCCUGCCCGAGCGCCGCCGCGUGGGUGAAGAAGGUUUCCGGAUUGUAAAGCUCUGUUGUAUGGGAAGAUCCGUUCCAGUAGUGAAUGAUUGGUACCUGUUGGUACCUUAUCAGCAACCCACGGCUAACUUCGUGCCAGCAGCCGCGGUAAUACGUAGGUGGCAAGCGUUAUCCGGAAUAAUUGGGCGUAAAGGGAGCGCAGGCGGCUUAUUAAGUCUGAGGUUAAAGUUCGGGGCUCAACCCCGUGAUGCCUUAGAAACUGGUAGGCUAGAGUGCAGGAGAGGUGAGUGGAAUUCCAUGUGUAGCGGUAAAAUGCGUAGAUAUAUGGAGGAACACCAGUGGCGAAGGCGGCUCACUGGCCUGUAACUGACGCUGAGGCUCGAAAGCGUGGGGAGCAAAUA
rnacentral:rRNA from 1 species